ACGCAGCAACGCCGCGUGCAGGAUGAAGCUUCUAGGAGUGUAAACUGGCUUUUAGUUGGGAAGAACAGACAGGUUUCGAAUAGGGACUUGUUUUGACGGUACCUUUAGAAAAAGCCCCGGCUAACUCCGUGCCAGCAGCCGCGGUAACACGGGGGGGGCAAGCGUUGUCCGGAAUUAUUGGGCGUAAAGGGCGCGCAGGCGGGAUGAUCAGUCUGAGGUGAAAUCUUUUGGCUUAACCGAAAGCUUGCCUUGGAUACUGUCAUUCUUGAGUUCGGAAGAGGGAAGUGGAUUUCCUGGUGUACCGGUGAAUGCGUAGUAUAUCAGGAAGAACACCGGUGGCGAAGGCGGCUUCCUGGUCCGAUACUGACGCUGAGGCGCGAAAGCGUGGGGAGCGAACAGGAUUAGAUACCCUGGUAGUCCACGCUGUAAACGAUGGGUACUAGGUGUUGGUCCUUUUUAGGAUCAGCGCCGCAGCUAACGCAUUAAGUACCCCGCCUGGGGAAUACGACCGCAAGGUUGAAACUCAAAGGAAUUGACGGGGGCCCGCACAAGCGGUGGAGCAUGUGGUUUAAUUCGAUGCAACGCGAAGAACCUUACCUGGGCUUGAACCGUAGUCGAAAACCCCUGAAAAGGGGUCCUCCUUCGGGACGGCUAUAGAGGUGCUGCAUGGCUGUCGUCAGCUCGUGCCGUGAGGUGUUGGGUUAAGUCCCGCAACGAGCGCAACCCUUGCCCUUAGUUGCCAUCAGGUUAUGCUGNGAACUCUAAGGGGACUGCCCCGGAUAACGGGGAGGAAGGUGGGGAUGACGUCAAGUCCUCAUGGCCCUUACGUCCAGGGCUACACACGUGCUACAAUG
rnacentral:rRNA from 1 species